rnacentral:tRNA from 4 species
CCAAAUAUAAAGUUUAAACUUUUUUUAGAA